GAACAAAAUUGAAUUAAUUAACUUCACUUUCGUCUUUGUAUCCACCAAAACACCUAAACAAAUAAAAUCAAUAAAAAUUAAGGAGUUAGAUAAGUUUUCAGUCUCCAUAUCCAUGACUUGUUUUUCUGCAACUUCCAAUGUUGUUUUCAUAAAUGGUUUUUCCUCAACUUCCAAUGGAAUCUCAAAAACAGGAUAUUUUCCAUUCCCUAGGACA
rnacentral:misc_RNA from 1 species